UGUCUAUUAAUUGUAGACCUGUAUGAAAGGCAAAAUGAGGGUUUAACUGUCUCUUAUAAUAAAUCAAUUAAACUGAUCUCCCAGUAAAAAAGCUAGGAUACCCACAUAAGACCAGAAGACCCUGUGAAGCUUAAACUAAACUAUUAAACCCUAUAAUAGAUACUUUCGGUUGGGGCGACCUUGGAAAAAAAAAGAACUUCCAAACACAGUGAUUAUAACCCACACCUCCUUAGGCCAACAAGCCUACCAAACGACCCAGCAUAGCUGACAAUUGAACCAAGUUACUCCAGGGAUAACAGCGCCAUCUUCUUCAAGAGUCCAUAUCAAAAAGAAGGUUUACGACCUCGAUGUUGGAUCAGGACAUCCUAAUGGUGCA
rnacentral:rRNA from 1 species